rnacentral:rRNA from 1 species
UGGCUGUCGUCAGCUCGUGUCGUGAGAUGUUGGGUUAAGUCCCGUAACGAGCGCAACCCUUGUCCUUAGUUACCAGCACGUUAUGGUGGGCACUCUAAGGAGACUGCCGGUGACAACCGGAGGAAGGUGGGGAUGACGUCAAGUCAUCAUGGCCCUUACGGCCUGGGCUACACACGUGCUACAAUGGUCGGUACAAAGGGUUGCCAAGCCGCGAGGUGGAGCUAAUCCCAUAAAACCGAUCGUAGUCCGGAUCGCAGUCUGCAACUCGACUGCGUGAAGUCGGAAUCGCUAGUAAUCGUGAAUCAGAAUGUCACGGUGAAUACGUUCCCGGGCCUU